UGCAACUUUUGGCCCAAAGGUUUGAAUAAUUAAAUUCAAACUUAUAGUUUUUUUUAAUAUAAUUUUGGGACUCACAAUCCCAUUUUUAUAUUAUUUUUCUCUCUUCCUCUCACGUUGCUCGGCGUUUUCUCGCAAGGGGAGAUUAUUUUCUUUUUCUUCAGAUUAUAUUGACAAAGAUAGUGGUGAAAAAGGAGUUGUGAAGGGGAACUUGUUAUUCAAGACACAAGGAGCGAGUCCGGCCGAGAAAGCAUCAGAGGUGUAAUUAUGGUGUAUGAGACACCAUCUUUUACGUUGCCUCUUAUUUUGGAUUAUACAAUGUAUCUUGUGCCAACUUAGGACAUAUCUUCUUUGUGGAGCAUGUAAACUCUAAUCCUUUUUAUUAAAUGCAUUUAUAUG